rnacentral:rRNA from 1 species
GUCGGCGGAUGGGUGAGUAACACGUGGGGAACCUGCCCCUAAGUCUGGGAUACCAUUUGGAAACAGGUGCUAAUACCGGAUAAUAAAGCAGAUCGCAUGAUCAGCUUUUGAAAGGCGGCGUAAGCUGUCGCUAAGGGAUGGCCCCGCGGUGCAUUAGCUAGUUGGUAAGGUAACGGCUUACCAAGGCGACGAUGCAUAGCCGAGUUGAGAGACUGAUCGGCCACAUUGGGACUGAGACACGGCCCAAACUCCUACGGGAGGCAGCAGUAGGGAAUCUUCCACAAUGGACGCAAGUCUGAUGGAGCAACGCCGCGUGAGUGAAGAAGGUUUUCGGAUCGUAAAGCUCUGUUGUUGGUGAAGAAGGAUAGAGGUAGUAACUGGCCUUUAUUUGACGGUAAUCAACCAGAAAGUCACGGCUAACUACGUGCCAGCAGCCGCGGUAAUACGUAGGUGGCAAGCGUUGUCCGGAUUUAUUGGGCGUAAAGCGAGCGCAGGCGGAAAAAUAAGUCUAAUGUGAAAGCCCUCGGCUUAACCGAGGAACUGCAUCGGAAACUGUUUUUCUUGAGUGCAGAAGAGGAGAGUGGAGCUCCAUGUGUAGCGGUGGAAUGCGUAGAUAUAUGGAAGAUCACCAGUGGCGAAGGCGGCUCUCUGGUCUGCAACUGACGCUGAGGCUCGAAAGCAUGGGUAGCGAACAGGAUUAGAUAUCCUGGUAGUCAUGCCGUAAACGAUGAGUGCUAAGUGU